rnacentral:misc_RNA from 1 species
UGUUGGUUUGCUAAAAUUGUCNGANCAUUCUCCCGUCGAUGUNCAGUANCCUNCCUUGUGNCAAGGUAUCNUAUGGAUNGAUGUGNCACACGUAGGGGAAAAUCUCGAUUGGAGUUGCGAGGCGUUGANGNANCCUGGACGGAGUUUNCCUUCGUGUCGUGNGACAUCAUGGUUUUNGUGUUUNUCGUNCCGUUCGGUNCAUUUCGGGAGNUUCUUNGUGNUNGUAUUUGUUUNCCUGGUUUUCGUNCCCCUUUUGUGGCUACUUGUGCGGGUCGUUUCAUGGAAUGAAUAUNGUAAAGUUCCAUGAGUGGUGCUUGGUUUGUUGUUGGUGGUUGGAUGACUNCAUUUGCAGCAACGUCCACCGGGCCAUACNUCUUCAUUUANGCCAAACGGUUUUUCGGAACCGGGAGCAUUUUUUGGGUUUUCCUGUGCUGUGUACCUACUUUACGGCAUGCUAUCGGUUGGUUAAUGUGGAUUUUCAUUCCACGUCACUCGCGUGGCGUGGGAUGAACUAGAACUGGCCCCUCUAUGANCCGUGUCUUUGACGCAUUGUGUUUUUGGCAUGGCCCAUUGGGUGUGGCUUGGUUUCUUGGAUACGGAACCUUAUGUGGGCAUGGGGUCGCCUAAGUGACCUCGNCUUUGCCCUCGUCAAGCGUUCUUGCUUCUAAAAAACAACACGCGGUCGUGCAUCGACUUGUU